ensembl:lncRNA
UGAACUUUUAACUUUAAUCCUUACAACAACCCAUGGGCAGCAGGUACCGCUUGUAGCCCUGAUAUACAGACCAAGAGAAGAAAGCCCAGAGACAUUAAGGAACUGGCCCAAGGCCUCAGGCCAGUAAGAGGCAGAGAAGACUCUGCCUGGGGAGGGAACUCCUGCCCCAUUCCUGCCUUUCUGGACGUGCCCUGGGGGUGGUAGGAGGCUUGGACUCCAGCCUGGCACUGCCACUCCGCAGGUGGGUCACCUCAGGCCAGCUGCACUCUUUUCCUAAGUCUUCAUGUCCUAAUCGGAAAAAUUAAGAGAAUGAGGUGAUUUCUUGGGGCCCUUCCCUAUGGUGACGCUGUGAUCUUCUUUUCCAUAAUUAUAGGUACUCGGAAAGAUCUCCAAAUUUCCUGGACUCAGGAUCAACCCCAGGACCAGCUUGAGUUUUUCCAGGACACCUCUCUCUGUGUACCUCUUGAUUUGGUUCAAAAGACCAGAAGCACGGACUUCUCUCUGGCAGUGGGAGUGAACCACUCCAUAUGCGAGGCACUGGAGCCCCAAAAGUGUCCCAUAUGCUCCCAAGGAAGGAUUUGCAGAUCCGACAUAACAGCUUAGGAUGCCAAGCUUGGGAGAGGAGAGAUGCCAGGUGAGAGCUGGAGUACCAAGGCCAGGGCCGGGCGCCAGCAGGAUAAUCUGAUGUUGCCGAAGAUAUAGAGGAGGACCUGAUGCCAGAAGCCUGAGGCAGCCAAGGUUCUCUGGGCACAAAGGCUUUGCGACACCUUUCAA